rnacentral:rRNA from 1 species
AUGGCAUUGGAAGCAAUAUAUGGGGAUGAUCUGGUUGAAUUCGGCAAAAAAGGAGGGCUUCACUGCUUCCAGAUCUACAUACACUACGACUUGCAUCAUGGCGCUCAAGUGUGCGCUAAGUUUUCUUCUGCCGACGGAGAAUGCCCCCAUGAUGGUACAGAAGACGAUGGUGAUGAGCCAGAGGAAUACUCCUGCACUUGCAACCUUGACUACUUGCCUCCUUUGGUGUUGACAUGCUUGCUUCCACAGUCCUAUCCUAGAAAAGACCCCCCAUAUUUUACAGUCACUGCCAAAUGGAUGGAUGGGUCUCAAGUUUGUCAGAUAUGUGAGAUGCUCGACGACAUCUGGGCACAACUCCCGGGGCAGGAAGUGGUAUAUCAGUGGGUUGAGUGGACCCGCAGUUCGUCGUUGUCGCACCUCUGGAUUGAUGGCAAAAUAAUAUUAGGUCCAGGCAGCCCAGCACACAAAUCAGAUAAUCGUGCUAUCUCAAGAGGUCUCCCAUUGAAUUAUGUAAUCCCUUCGAUGCUCAGCUACAGUAGUAAGAAGCGUCGUAAAGCUUUUCUUGAUGAUCUUCAUAUGUGCCUGAUAUGCCUUACAGAGAGCAAUGGUUCAAACUUCAUCCAGCUGCCAUGCCAGCACUUGUUUUGUGCCACGUGCAUGGAGACCUUCUGCAGGAUACAUGUGAAGGAAGGUACUGUGUUCCAAUUGGUGUGCCCUGGCACCAAGUGCAACGCUUCUAUUCCGCCGUAUCUGCUAAAGAAUCUUCUUAGGGAAGAAGAGUUUGAACGUUGGGAUAGGCUUCUUCUUGACAAAGCAUUGGGCUCAAUGUCAGACGUGGUCUACUGUCCAAGGUGUUCGAUGGCUUGCUUGGCAGAUGAGGAUAAGAACGCGCAAUGUCAAAGUUGUUUCUUUACCUUCUGCUCAGCUUGCAAGGAUCCACGCCAUUUAGGGAGACAGUGUUUAACUCCAGAACAAAAGCUCAAGGCAUCAGGCAAGUUAACUGUGAGGGAGAUGGUGCAGGAGAUGCUGAUGAUCAGAUCGUUAUACAACGAUGCUAGAGCAUGUCCAAACUGCCGAAUGGUCAUUAGCAGAAGUGAAGGGUGCAACAUGAUGUAUUGUGUGAACUGUGGCAAGUCGUUCUGCUUCCGUUGUGGCGAGGCCAUGACUGCUAGCAAUUAUAACCAUUUCAGUAAAUGUGGGCUCUUUGCGCCGCAAAAAAACGACUAUAACACAAAUGAUUUGGAGAAGCGACUGAAAGAGCUAGAAACCGCAGAACGCGUGGCUCAAAUGCAUCCGUUAGGCAGCACCAUCGAAUGCCCGAAAUGCCGUCAGAAAAUUUUCAAGGUAAGGAGACCUGUCUUAUUCAAUCUGCAGCAUGGCAUGAAUCUGCAAGGGAUGACCAAUUUCUAG